rnacentral:rRNA from 1 species
CCUGGAAACAGAUGCUAAUACCGGAUAACAACAGAUGAUGCCUAUCAACUGUUUAAAAGAUGGUUCUGCUAUCACUCUUGGAUGGACCUGCGGUGCAUUAGCUAGUUGGUAGGGUAACGGCCUACCAAGGCGAUGAUGUAUAGCCGAGUUGAGAGACUGAUCGGCCACAUUGGGACUGAGACACGGCCCAAACUCCUACGGGAGGCAGCAGCC